CCUAUCUCCAGCAGAGGUGAGCUGCAGAAGAGCCCCCAUCCAGCCCAGCGGGAGCCAUGGCCUCUGCACACAUCUGGACACUUGGGAUUCUGUUUACGCUCAGUGGACUGAGAGCUCAGUCGGUGACUCAGCCAGAAGAUCAGGUCCCUGUCGCGGAAGGGGAUCCAGUGACUGUGAAGUGCACCUAUUCAGUUUCGGGGAGCCCUUAUCUUUUUUGGUAUGUCCAACAUCGCAAUCAAGGUCUCCAGUUCCUUCUGAGAUACAUCGGAGGGGACAAGUUGGUUCAAGGCAACUACGGUUUUGAGGCUGAAUUUAACAAGAGCCAAACCUCUUUCCACCUGAAGAAACCAUCUGUUGCAGGGAGUGACUCUGCCUUGUACUUCUGUGCUGUGAGCGACACAGUGGUGGGGGCCGCAGGCAGAGCUGAAUACAAACCCCUGAGCACAGAAAACCUUGCUCCUGAAGCCUUGAUAUCCCUCCACAAGGGGGUGUUGUGGCUCCAGGAUUUGUCCUUCACUAUAACUAAAAGAAUUUUUUUUUCUAAACCCACAGAAUUUGUUCAUUUGACAAGUAUAUAUUGAAAUAAAUCCUUGUGUGCCAGCUACUCUGCUGAGCACUGAUCAUAAAGAGGUGAAAGAAAGCAUCCUUGAUCUGCAGAUGCCAGGUGUGAUCCCAAACAUUUGUGAAUCCCUUUAA